UCUUAUGGGUAAGCAAAGAAAGUGAUUUCUUGAGAUGGAAUCUACUUCUGGUGAAGACAUUGUGAA
rnacentral:pre_miRNA from 1 species